GACGAACGCUGGCGGCGUGCCUAAUACAUGCAAGUCGAGCGGAUCUUUAGAAGCUUGCUUCUGAAGAUUAGCGGCGGACGGGUGAGUAACACGUGGGCAACCUGCCUGUAAGACUGGGAUAACACCGGGAAACCGGUGCUAAUACCGGAUAAUUCUUUUCCUCUCAUGAGGAAAAGCUGAAAGACGGCGCAAGCUGUCACUUACAGAUGGGCCCGCGGCGCAUUAGCUAGUUGGUGAGGUAACGGCUCACCAAGGCGACGAUGCGUAGCCGACCUGAGAGGGUGAUCGGCCACACUGGGACUGAGACACGGCCCAGACUCCUACGGGAGGCUG
rnacentral:rRNA from 1 species